GGGUUGUGAGGUUAAGCGACUAAGCGUACACGGUGGAUGCCUAGGCAGUCAGAGGCGAUGAAGGGCGUGCUAAUCUGCGAAAAGCGUCGGCAAGGUGAUAUGAACCGUUAUACCCGACGAUACCCGAAUGGGGAAACCCAGUGUGAUUCGUCACACUAUCAUUAACUGAAUCCAUAGGUUAAUGAGGCGAACCGGGGGAACUGAAACAUCUCAGUACCCCGAGGAAAAGAAAUCAACCGAGAUUCCCCCAGUAGCGGCGAGCGAACGGGGAGGAGCCCAGAACCUGAAUCGGCUUGUGUGUCAGUGGAAGCGUCUGGAAAGGCGCACGAUACAGGGUGACAGUCCCGUACACGAAGAUGCACAGGUCGUGAGUUCGAUGAGUAGGGCGGGACACGUGGUAUCCUGUCUGAACAUGGGGGGACCAUCCUCCAAGGCUAAAUACUCCUGACUGACCGAUAGUGAACCAGUACCGUGAGGGAAAGGCGAAAAGAACCCCGGCGAGGGGAGUGAAAUAGAACCUGAAACCGUGUACGUACAAGCAGUGGGAGCACCUUUAGGGUGUGACUGCGUACCUUUUGUAUAAUGGGUCAGCGACUUAUAUUCUGUAGCAAGGUUAACCGAAUAGGGGAGCCGCAGGGAAACCGAGUCUUAACUGGGCGUCUAGUUGCAGGGUAUAGACCCGAAACCCGGUGAUCUAGCCAUGGGCAGGUUGAAGGUUGGGUAACACUAACUGGAGGACCGAACCGACUAAUGUUGAAAAAUUAGCGGAUGACUUGUGGCUGGGGGUGAAAGGCCAAUCAAACCGGGAGAUAGCUGGUUCUCCCCGAAAGCUAUUUAGGUAGCGCCUCGUGAACUCAUCUUCGGGGGUAGAGCACUGUUUCGGCUAGGGGGCCAUCCCGGCUUACCAACCCGAUGCAAACUGCGAAUACCGAAGAAUGUUAUCACGGGAGACACACGGCGGGUGCUAACGUCCGUCGUGAAGAGGGAAACAACCCAGACCGCCAGCUAAGGUCCCAAAGUCAUGGUUAAGUGGGAAACGAUGUGGGAAGGCCCAGACAGCCAGGAUGUUGGCUUAGAAGCAGCCAUCAUUUAAAGAAAGCGUAAUAGCUCACUGGUCGAGUCGGCCUGCGCGGAAGAUGUAACGGGGCUAAAACCAUGCACCGAAGCUGCGGCAGCGACGCUUAGGCGUUGUUGGGUAGGGGAGCGUUCUGUAAGCCUGUGAAGGUGGCCUGUGAGGGCUGCUGGAGGUAUCAGAAGUGCGAAUGCUGACAUAAGUAACGAUAAUGCGGGUGAAAAACCCGCACGCCGGAAGACCAAGGGUUCCUGUCCAACGUUAAUCGGGGCAGGGUGAGUCGACCCCUAAGGCGAGGCUGAAAAGCGUAGUCGAUGGGAAACAGGUUAAUAUUCCUGUACUUGGUGUUACUGCGAAGGGGGGACGGAGAAGGCUAUGUCAUCCGGGCGACGGUUGUCCCGGUUUAAGCGUGCAGGUGGGUGGACCAGGUAAAUCCGGUCUGCUGUCAACACUGAGGCGUGAUGACGAAGCACUACGGUGCUGAAGUGACAGAUGCCCUGCUUCCAGGAAAAGCCUCUAAGCAUCAGGUAACAUUGAAUCGUACCCCAAACCGACACAGGUGGUCAGGUAGAGAAUACUCAGGCGCUUGAGAGAACUCGGGUGAAGGAACUAGGCAAAAUGGUGCCGUAACUUCGGGAGAAGGCACGCUCCUGCUGGUGAAGUCCCUUGCGGAUGGAGCUGACGGGAGUCGCAGAUACCAGCUGGCUGCAACUGUUUAAUAAAAACACAGCACUGUGCAAACACGAAAGUGGACGUAUACGGUGUGACGCCUGCCCGGUGCCGGAAGGUUAAUUGAUGGGGUUAUCCGUAAGGAGAAGCUCUUGAUCGAAGCCCCGGUAAACGGCGGCCGUAACUAUAACGGUCCUAAGGUAGCGAAAUUCCUUGUCGGGUAAGUUCCGACCUGCACGAAUGGCGUAAUGAUGGCCAGGCUGUCUCCACCCGAGACUCAGUGAAAUUGAACUCGCUGUGAAGAUGCAGUGUACCCGCGGCAAGACGGAAAGACCCCGUGAACCUUUACUAUAGCUUGACACUGAACCUUGAGCCUUGAUGUGUAGGAUAGGUGGGAGGCUUUGAAGUGUGGACGCCAGUCUGCAUGGAGCCGACCUUGAAAUACCACCCUUUAAUGUUUGAUGUUCUAACCUGGGCCCGUAAUCCGGGCUGGGGACAGUGUCUGGUGGGUAGUUUGACUGGGGCGGUCUCCUCCCAAAGAGUAACGGAGGAGCACGAAGGUUAGCUAAUCCUGGUCGGACAUCAGGAGGUUAGUGCAAAGGCAUAAGCUAGCUUGACUGCGAGAGUGACGGCUCGAGCAGGUGCGAAAGCAGGUCUUAGUGAUCCGGUGGUUCUGAAUGGAAGGGCCAUCGCUCAACGGAUAAAAGGUACUCCGGGGAUAACAGGCUGAUACCGCCCAAGAGUUCAUAUCGACGGCGGUGUUUGGCACCUCGAUGUCGGCUCAUCACAUCCUGGGGCUGAAGUAGGUCCCAAGGGUAUGGCUGUUCGCCAUUUAAAGUGGUACGCGAGCUGGGUUUAGAACGUCGUGAGACAGUUCGGUCCCUAUCUGCCGUGGGCGUUGGAAGAUUGAGGGGGGUUGCUCCUAGUACGAGAGGACCGGAGUGAACGCACCGCUGGUGUUCGGGUUGUCAUGCCAAUGGCACUGCCCGGUAGCUACGUGCGGAAGAGAUAACCGCUGAAAGCAUCUAAGCGGGAAACUUGCCCCGAGAUGAGUCUUCCCUGGGCCCCUGAGGCCCCUGAAGGGACGUUCGAGACGAGGACGUUGAUAGGCUGGGUGUGUAAGCGUAGUGAUACGUUGAGCUAACCAGUACUAAUGACCCGAGAGGCUUAACCUUACAACACCGAAGGUGUUU
rnacentral:rRNA from 1 species